UGUUUGUUAGUACUGUGUGUGUGUGAGCGCAUCGACAGCGAAUACAAUCUUAAUCGCUACUUGAGUCUCAGCAUUAUUCCUCCGUGCUACAAUAUUAAUACCGCAGGAAGAAUUAUUUUAUCAAAACGACGUCGUAGUUUUUUUAUCCCUUAAGGGUUGCUAAUGCCGAGCCAGCCUUGCCCACGAUUACAUCCGGCACCAGACUACCAGUAGACCAGAAGCCCAACGAGAUCUGUCCGGAGCAACAAAACAAUCACUAUUGAAACAGAAAACAAAAUUAACGGAAUGAAAAUAAAAUUUGGAACCACACUGAAAGAAUAACAGUCGUUCAGGUAGACCGCGAUUGGAAGACUGCAGGUCUGCAGCCAUCCGUUUGGAUGGCUAGUAACCGCGUAUGGAACGAGUCGAUUGUUUUCGAAAUUAUUUCGCUCGUGAAUAUAGUGUCUUGGUUAAAUAACCAAAUCACCAUUAAAUAUACAAUAUAUAUUAUAUAUUUAAUGAUAUUUAUGAUUUGAUUUAUUAUAUGUAUGAUUGAUAUCAUUAAACACAAAGUAGGGGAGGGUGGGGCUAGUUGGUACAAUUUUUUUUAUUUCUUCUCUGGUUUCUUUAAUUUUUCAUAUUUUGACACCCAAAAAAUUGUAAAA